GUCCACACCGUAAACGAUGGAUACUAGGUGUAGGGUGUGAUAAACAUUCUGUGCCGUCGCAAACGCAAUAAGUAUCCCACCUGGGGAGUACGGCCGCAAGGUUGAAACUCAAAGGAAUUGACGGGGGCCCGCACAAGCAGUGGAGUAUGUGGUUUAAUUCGACGCAACGCGAAGAACCUUACCAGGGCUUGACAUAUACAGGAAUAAGCUAGAGAUAGUUUAGGUCUUCGGAGUCUGUAUACAGGUGGUGCAUGGUUGUCGU
rnacentral:rRNA from 1 species